GACGAACGCUGGCGGCGUGCUUAACACAUGCAAGUCGAACGGAAAGGCCCUGCUUUUGUGGGGUGCUCGAGUGGCGAACGGGUGAGUAACACGUGAGUAACCUGCCCUUGACUUUGGGAUAACUUCAGGAAACUGGGGCUAAUACCGGAUAGGAGCUCCUGCUGCAUGGUGGGGGUUGGAUAGUUUCGGCGGUUGGGGAUGGACUCGCGGCUUAUCAGCUUGUUGGUGGGGUAGUGGCUUACCAAGGCUUUGACGGGUAGCCGGCCUGAGAGGGUGACCGGCCACAUUGGGACUGAGAUACGGCCCAGACUCCUACGUGAGGCAGCAGUGGGGAAUAUUGCACAAUGGGCGGAAGCCUGAUGCAGCAACGCCGCGUGCGGGAUGACGGCCUUCGGGUUGUAAACCGCUUUCGCCUGUGACGAAGCGUGAGUGACGGUAAUGGGUAAAGAAGCACCGGCUAACUACGUG
rnacentral:rRNA from 1 species